rnacentral:tRNA from 1 species
GUGUAGUUGGUUAUCACGAUUUGGAUUCUGAUUCCAAUAACCUGAGUUCGAAUCUCGGAGGGACUU